UUUCUACUCCCUCAGCUAUUUGAGAGAAUGUUUUAAGGAGGGAAUGUUUGCUGCAGAGAGAUUAGAGUACAUCCCAGACCAGAGAGGUUAGAGUACAUCCCAGACCAGAGAGAUUAGAGUACAUCCCAGACCAGAGAGAUUAGAGUACAUCCCAGACCAGAGAGGUUAGAGUACAUCCCAGACCAGAGAGGUUAGAGUACAUCCCAGACCAGAGAGGUUAGAGUACAUCCCAGACCAGAGAGGUUAGAGUACAUCCCAUUCCCUAUAUAAUGCACUUCUUUAGACCAGAACUCCCAUUGCAGACGGAACAAAACCGAGAAGGCCCUAGCUAUCUGAUGUACCAGGUGCAGCCAACCAGAGCAGGCCCUAGCUAUCUGAUGUACCAGACUCAGCCAAACAGAGCAGGCCCUAGCUAUCUGAUGUACCAGACUCAGCCAAACCGAGCAGGCCCUAGCUAUCUGAUGUACCAGACACAGCCAAACAGAGCAGGCCCUAGCUAUCUGAUGUACCAG
ensembl:lncRNA